GUUUUUGGGGGACACCUCACAUACAAACCAUAACAGCAGCACAUAUACUAAAAUCGGAAUAAUAAAGAGAAGAUUAGCAUGGGCCCUGCACAAGGAGGACGCACAAACUCAGGAAACAUUUCAUAUUUUU
ensembl:snRNA U6 U6 spliceosomal RNA